GAGGGAGACACAGCGGCAAGAAGCUGCUGCUGGGGGUCAGGCUUGUAGCUUUUAGUCUUCUAAACACUGAUGGAAAUUCAUUGUUUGGCUGCUGUUUCACGCUGUUAGUUGCGAGUUUGCAUUGAACCGUGAAUAAAACAAAGCAGUGUGUGCAAACGGGCUCAUCCCGCGAAGGAGAAACAUAGCAGUCACCGGAUUAAGAGUUUCCAGCAAAAUAUUUGAAAUCGUGCCUGUUGUGCUUCCCUUCGAUAGUUCGUGUAUUGGGAGCUGGAUAUUGAACCGUGCAAUUAUCUGAUGUGUCAAGACAAUGUCACAUUUCCGUGGUGCAACACCAAGUGUGACUAGCUGCUCCUACUAACAGCAGGCAAAUACAUGAAGGACCAAGACAAUGUAUCAUUUCCUUGGUGCAAAGCCAAGUGUGAGCAGCUGCUUCUCACAAACAGCAGUUAUGUUACAGCUGUCAGAAUGGAUCAUUUCCACAGACAAAGAGCAGUUUGAGUCAGAGACACGUUGAACUUAAUUUCCAGAGAAAUGCAUUCAAGCCAACAGUCAAAUACAAGCAACAAAAUACAAGUAGUUUGUUUUCUCUCUUCCCAAUGCACACCUCCUCGGUUGCUAUAAUUUUCUUCAUUCAUAGCCUACUGACAUUUACAACAUUUUUGAGAAGUCACAGACUGAAUCUUCAUCUGAUACGGACACCGAGGAACUGCAGUAAAUCUGCAUUUAGUAAGCAUGUUUUUCAAGUUACUGUCAAGGUGAAGAAAUAGUUCAUGCAGUUACACAGUUACUUUGCACAGUGUGAGUACAGAUAUGGAAAAAAACAUUCACAUUAUCAGUAACUGAGCAGGACUGUGUCUAUGUUUUGACAAAUUGAUGUCCCAGGCAUAGAGAGAAGAAUUAAAUAAUGUGACUUCCAAA